rnacentral:rRNA from 1 species
GACGAACGCUGGCGGCGUGCUUAACACAUGCAAGUCGAACGGAAAGGCCCUGCUUUUGUGGGGUGCUCGAGUGGCGAACGGGUGAGUAACACGUGAGUAACCUGCCCUUGACUUUGGGAUAACUUCAGGAAACUGGGGCUAAUACCGGAUAGGAGCUCCUGCUGCAUGGUGGGGGUUGGAAAGUUUCGGCGGUUGGGGAUGGACUCGCGGCUUAUCAGCUUGUUGGCGGGGUAGUGGCUUACCAAGGCUUUGACGGGUAGCCGGCCUGAGAGGGUGACCGGCCACAUUGGGACUGAGAUACGGCCCAGACUCCUACGGGAGGCAGCAGUGGGGAAUAUUGCACAAUGGGCGGAAGCCUGAUGCAGCAACGCCGCGUGCGGGAUGACGGCCUUCGGGUUGUAAACCGCUUUCGCCUGUGGCGAAGCGUGAGUGACGGUAAUGGGUAAAGAAGCACCGGCUAACUACGU